AGGUCACUGCUAUCGGGGUUCGAUUAAGCCAUGCGAGUCGAGAGGGUUCGGCCCUCGGCGUACUGCUCAGUAACACGUGGAUAACCUGCCCUAGGGAAGGGGAUAACCCCGGGAAACUGGGGAUAAUACCCUAUAGAUUACAGAUGCUGGAAUGCCCUGUAAUCCAAAGUUCCGACGCCCUAGGAUGGAUCUGCGGCCGAUUAGGUUGUUGUUGGGGUAAUGGCCCAACAAGCCCGUAAUCGGUACGGGUUGUGGGAGCAAGAGCCCGGAGUUGGAUUCUGAGACACGAAUCCAGGCCCUACGGGGCGCAGCAGGCGCGAAAACUUUACAAUGCGGGCAACCGUGAUAAGGGAACCUCGAGUGCCUGUAAAUGCAGGCUGUUCAGGUGCCUAAAACACACCUGAAGAAAGGGCCGGGCAAGACCGGUGCCAGCCGCCGCGGUAAUACCGGCGGCUCGAGUGGUGGCCGCUUUUAUUGGGCUUAAAGCGUUCGUAGCUGGGUUGUUAAGUCUCUUGGGAAAUCUGGCGGCUUAACCGUCAGGCGUCUAAGGGAUACUGGCAAUCUUGGAACCGGGAGAGGUGAGGGGUACUUCGGGGGUAGGAGUGAAAUCCUGUAAUCCUCGAGGGACCACCUGUGGCGAAGGCGCCUCACCAGAACGGCUUCGACAGUGAGGGACGAAAGCUGGGGGAGCAAACCGGAUUAGAUACCCGGGUAGUCCCAGCCGUAAACUAUGCGCGUUAGGUGUAUCGGUGACCACGAGUUACCGAGGUGCCGAAGGGAAACCGUGAAACGUGCCGCCUGGGAAGUACGGUCGCAAGGCUGAAACUUAAAGGAAUUGGCGGGGGAGCACCACAACAGGUGGAGCCUGCGGUUUAAUUGGACUCAACGCCGGGAAGCUCACCGGAUAAGACAGCAGAAUGAUUGCCGGGCUGAAGACUCUGCAUGACUAGCUGAGAGGAGGUGCAUGGCCGUCGUCAGUUCGUACUGUGAAAUUUCCCUAACCGCCCCCCUCGUGGUGGUGUCCCACCUCGGACGCCAAAUUAANCCUGAGUUGCGGCCCUUCGAGUGGCCUAUUCUUGUCGUCUUACUAACGGCCCGACUUCUGAGACGUACUGAUCCGACUCUCCUCCACGUACCCGGCAGCAGUCAAGCAUGACACNUUCGUAGGACAAUUCCAGUCCGUUGCUCGUUCUGGGUGCGGUUGUCAACGGUCGUACCAGAGGCCCUGACUACCCCUGUGACAACCCUGGCGGAGACGAUUUCUCCUCCUUCCUUACCCGUUGCCAUCCAGUCGUACGGGGCUUAAUAGGCCCGAUGUGCGCCCGAUGUUACCCGUCCUGUUACCCGUAGCUGUGGCUUUCCACUUCCGUUAGAGGAUUUGGACAGGAAUCAAGCCUAACACCCGACGUUGAGCGGGUGUACUUCGACCUUAGACAUCAUUAGCGCAAAGUUUUAUUGCGCCACUUAAACAGGGACGAGGAACGUGUGUGGCGGGCAGUUUGGUGGGCUCACCCCAAACCUACUCCAACGCCAACAACGGCGUCAGCUUAGAUCCAAGGCGUUCCCCCCAA
rnacentral:rRNA from 1 species